CCUACGGGGGGCUGCAGUGGGGAAUAUUGGACAAUGGGGGGAACCCUGAUCCAGCCAUGCCGCGUGUGUGAAGAAGGCCCUCGGGUUGUAAAGCACUUUCAGUGAGGAAGAACGCCUGGUGGUUAAUACCCAUCAGGAAAGACAUCACUCACAGAAGAAGCACCGGCUAACUCCGUGCCAGCAGCCGCGGUAAUACGGAGGGUGCGAGCGUUAAUCGGAAUUACUGGGCGUAAAGCGCGCGUAGGUGGCUUGAUAAGCCGGUUGUGAAAGCCCCGGGCUCAACCUGGGAACGGCAUCCGGAACUGUCAAGCUAGAGUGCAGGAGAGGAAGGUAGAAUUCCCGGUGUAGCGGUGAAAUGCGUAGAGAUAGGGAGGAAUACCAGUGGCGAAGGCGGCCUUCUGGACUGACACUGACACUGAGGUGCGAAAGCGUGGGUAGCAAACAGGAUUAGAUACCCUAGUAGUC
rnacentral:rRNA from 1 species